GCUGCAGAACCCAACGGCAGCACAGAUUGACACGGAGGGGCUCUGGCAGCAGCAGCUUGAGUGCAGGCAAAUCCAUCCCUGCAGCUGAGCACAGUCAUUGCUUUGGCCCAGAGCCGCUCGCAGUGGCGCCUGGAGGAGCUCGGAGGCCUAGAGCGGCUUUGACCAGCGAGAGGAGAGCCCAGAGCGUCGCCUGCCAGCCGGAAGUGACGGCACGGAGACACAGACAAACCCUACCUGGAGCCCACAGGAGCCGAGCCAAAGGAGAUCACCCUGCCAGGCUGCAGGGCCAGGCUGCAGCGGCACCAGCGUCCGUGCUGACGGAUUCACCGCAGCAGCUGGGGCCCUCGUGCCCAUCCUGCUGCUGCUGCACAUCUGGCUGGCUUGGCCAGUGGAGUGGAAAGCAAAGUGCAAACCUGCCAAGAGUGAAACAACCAAGGACAAAGCUCAGUUACUCACACUGUGAAGGUGAGGGCACGCUCCUAUGCCCCCAGUAAAAACACUGCCAAAGCAUUUCAUUUUCCACUGCCAUGCACUGACCUUGCAGAGCUCUGAGCUGAUCCCACUCCAACACUCCACCUCCAGUGCACACAGUCAGCUCUGACUGCAGGGUGCUGCCAUGUGGGCCAUGCACACACAGGAGGGACGCCUGGCCCCCAGCACUGCCCAGCAGACAUGCUCCUGAGCUGCCAGGGACACGUACCAGUGACAGCCAGACAGAAAUAAAGCACGUCAGAGCACCCCACCAGAAGAUGGGAAAGACAA